AUACGGAGGAUGCAAGCGUUAUCCGGAUUUAUUGGGUUUAAAGGGUGCGUAGGCGGUUUGCUAAGCGGGAGGUGAAAUUCCGGCGCUCCACGUCGGAAGUGCCUCCCGAACUGGUGGACUGGAAUGACUCUGCCGUGGGAGGAAUGUGUAGUGUAGCGGUGAAAUGCUUAGAGAUUACACAGAACACCGAUUGCGAAGGCAUCUCACGAAGGGUUGAUUGACGCUGAGGCACGAAAGCGUGGGGAUCAAACAGGAUUAGAUACCCUGGUAGUCCACGCAGUAAACGAUGAUGGCUAACCGCUGGUUUAUUCGGAUCAGUGGCCAAGCGAAAGCGAUAAGCCAUCCACCUGGGGAGUACGACCGCAAGGUUGAAACUCAAAUGAAUUGGCGGGG
rnacentral:rRNA from 1 species